CAUUGGCCCCAUUCAAGCACUCCCCGAGGUCUACAGUGGAGAAGAGAAGGCUGCCAAGCCCCUGUGAAGAAGAAAGAGACUGUGUAUCGUCCCAGCCCCUCGUGACUUCACACUGGGUGUGAAGACAGAAUAGGAUCCUGAAAGAGGCCGACUUUAACGAAAGGAAUGAGUGUGUGCACUUUUGGACAUGGCGUCUAGAUGUCCUUCCAAUUAAGCGGUGCACAGAAACCGGAUUCAGAUGCAAGGUUCGCAGCAAAGGCGCUAAAGAAUCGCACAGUCAACCUCGUCUACAGAUGGCUGGAGGCAUGAGACACAAGCUUUCAAAGCAGUUUUUAAGCCACCAACCAUAAAGGCUCAGGAAAGAAUCCAGAAACUACCCCAAAAUUUCCCAUGAUGAUUGACAUCAAGAGAACACCAUUCUGGACCAGUUUCUGAGGCUGAAACCAGCUUGCUCAGGGGUGGAGCUUCCUGCUCAUUCGUUCUGCCACGCCCACUGCUGGAACCUGCGGAGCCAUACACGUGCACCUUUCUACUGGACCAGAGAUUAUUCGGCGGGAAUCGGGUCCCCUCCCCCUUCCUUCAUAACUGAGUGUCGCAACAGUAAAAUUUGAGCUUUGAUCA
rnacentral:lncRNA from 1 species